GUGGGCUGCCUUGUGAGAGAGUGUCCCUGUCACUGUGGGUGUGCCAACAGCUUCAGAACAAUCACUGACCUGGAUGACAUGGACAGAUUAGAGUUCACGCGUCAGAUAGAUAACAGUGAAGGUGCCUCCUGAUUGCGAGAUUCAGGAAAUUCCUUACUGCUGGACCGCACCCGCUUUUGAGGACCUCUGGAUCUCCUUGGGCAGAGCAGAAGCCAGACAGAGACUGGAACUGUGAAGUGACAAUCCCCAGCCCUGUGUGUGCCAGGAGCCCCCAGGGGUGUGUCUCGGAGAUAGUCUGCGCAGAACCACCUAGGGGUUUGCUGACAAUGCCCCAGCUGAGUCAGAAUCUCCAGGGAGCCAAGGAGUCAGUGUACCCAACAAGUUCCAGGUGAGUCUUAGGCCCACUGAAUGGAGACCACUCGGCUGAGACGGGGCGUGCCUGGGCAGCAGGGCCUGGGUUUUCCUCCAUCUGCCCACGGGGCCUGUUUGUUGAAUGUGACCCUCAAGUGCAAGCAGUGUCUUUGUUCCUUGUCAGUAAGAGCUGUGCCAUUUCCCUUCCCCAGGCUCCCAAAGCCCCAUGCCAAAAGGAUGGCACACGUACUCAAGAAUUUCAGGCAUUGGACAGCAGAGGAAAGUGAUUCUUUGGGGGUUCUUAGGGGCUUCCCCAAAUCCUACCAAGGAGGUCUCAAGGGAGGACACUCCUGCCUCCUUCACUGCCCCGGUUGCGCCUGUUCUCCAUAAAAUGGAGAUAAAUAGCUCUGUGAUGUGGUUGGAGGUGACCCACUUAGUCUUGAAAGUUAGAAAUUCUGCAUGACUGGCUUAAUUCAUUUGGGGUGGGGAAGAUUGGUGGUGAGAAAUAAUUAUUUGCAAGCUACUUCCAAGAUAAUACAGAGAGAAGCAGAAGGAUAAUAUAUAAGACUAGUAAAUGAGCACACACGUCAUUUUCAUGUUUUAGAUCAAUUUUAUUGAGGCAUAAUUUAUAUACAAUACAACAUACCCAUUUAAGUGGGCAGUUUGGUGAGUUUUGACAAAGUGUGUUUGCCUGUGUAACCACUAUCACAAUAUAGAUCAUCUCCUGUGCUCCAAAAAUUCCUGUGCUCCUUUUUUGCAACCAGUCUCCGCCUGGCCUGUGAGUCCCUCAUCUGCCUUCUGUCCCCAUGGAUUAGAUUUGUAUUUCAUAGGACUUUACAUAAAUGGAAUCAUACAGUAGGUGCUGUUUUGUGUCUGUCUUCUUUUGCUCAGCAUAAUGUUUUUGAGAUUUGUCUGUGUUGUUGCACAUGUAUUAGAUGUUUGUUCCUUUUUAUUGCUGGUUAUAAUAUAAUAUUAUAUUAUAGUUUGUUUAUGCAUUCUCCUGUCAAUUGACAUUAGGGUGGUUUCUAGUUUGGGGCUAAUGUGAAAAAAUUGCUCUGAAAGUUGGUGUACAACUCUUUGUUUUGUGGACAUUUGUUUUUAUUGCUCUUGGCAGCAAAUUUGCUGGGUUGUAUGAAAAUGUAGGUGUAACUUCAACAGAAACUGACAAACUGGGUUCCAAAGUGGCUGACUGUUCCACCAGCAGGAUGGGAGUUCCAGUUGCUCCACACCUUUGACAGCACUUGGUAUUGUCAGUCUUUUUAAUUUUAGAAUUUCUGGUUAGGCGUACAGUGGUCCCUCACUGAAGCAUGCUCGUUUUAUCCAUCCACCAAGGCUUAUAUGAUCUGGCUCUUGUCCACCUCUCCAAUCUCUUCUGACCCACUCUCCCCACCCCAUGCUCUUCCCCAGUCACUCUAAGCAUCUCUCUGUUCCUCAUGUGCUCCAGGCUCAUUUUUUUUUUUUUUUAAUGCUAAUCCUCUCGACAUUUCCAUAACUGGCCCCUUCUCAUCAUUUAGGUCUUAGCACAAGGGUGGCCUCCUCAGAGAUCUUCUUUCACCACCCUCUCUAACAGUGUCUCCAACUCUUAGAUGUCUCUGUUUUUCCCUUUGUGGCAGUGAGCCUAUCUGAAAGAAUCUUGUUUGUCUACUUGUUGACUGUCUGCCCUAUGAAACUAUAAUUUCUGUGACAAAAGCAUCUUGUCUGUUCCAUUCACAACAGUACCCAAUAGAUAAUAGGUAUUCAAUAUAUAUUGUUGGAUGGAUUUGAUGGUUUAAAGUGCACAUUCAAUAUAUUGGUCUUUGGGGUCUUGGAAAUUGAAGGGUAUCCAUAUUAAUAAAAUGGAAAUAUUUAGAGCACAAAUUAUUUUCAUGGUCUGGAGCUGAUCCAUUUGCAUGUAAAUAUGCCUAGAAACCUAGAAAUACAAAAGUAGAAGGAAGGUGUUUUAGAUACCAUAAAAUAAGUUGGCUUUAAACAAUGGGAAUUUAUUAGCUUACAGCUUGAGGUCAUGAGAAUGUUCAAA